CUCCUCCUGUCAAACUCCAGAUAAGCCAUGAAUCAAUGGUCCCGAAAAGAGCUCUAUUUUCUUCCACAGCCUUUUGAACUUUCCUUACAUUGUCCAGGAGCCAACGGAGUUUCAUUGCGCUGAAACUCCUACAGAUGCUCACUGGAGAACUGGGCUGCUAUAGACAACGGCAAACAGAGGAAAAGAAAAGGAGAUAUUCAGGGUACAAUGUGUAAAAUCAGUGAAGAGAAUGAGUUGGAAUCUGAUCCCAGUGGAGCUACAGAUGUCAUCUUUCUAGAUACUUUUCUUGUUUCUCUACAGAGGCUAACAUCCCGGUGAAGAAAGUAUUCUGAAUUCUAUAAUGGAAUGAUUAGAAGCCCAAAAGACUCAGAAUGGCACUGGAUGAUAAAGGACAAAGAAACAACUGAAGCAAUGAAGAAAGUGCUUCAGAGAAGAGAUGUAAUAUUUCUUCAUGUCACUUGAUAAUCACUUCAGUGGAAUGCAACACUUUCAUGCCAGUGGAAAGUCUAGGGAUGAUGACUGGAAAGAAAAUGAAUCCUGUAAAAGCUUCUGCAGGCAUACAGUAUCAGAGAGACUCUGCAGAUGUAUUUUCAGAGUAAAAACAAAUUUUUCAGUAACUUCUUAAAAGUUCUGUGGGUGUGGGAAUGCAAAUAAUAUGGGAUGUGUGAGGCAUAGGCAAUGACAAUAAAGAGUUUUAAUUCUGAUGUGGAAAAAAUGUUUGAAUAUACCCAAAUUUUAAUAUCAUGGAGGAGUAACUAUAAAGAGUUUCUCUAAUACACUGUUAACUUCUACUUGAAUAGUGUAUAUCCAUAAUAUGCACUCAUGUAUGAGCGAUAUUGUAUGAAAGAAGGCUCUUUCAAUUGCUUGCUACUAAGGAAUACUUUUGCACAUCUGUUUUUUUUGCCACUAUCAAUGUGGGCUUUAGGAUCACAGUAAGAAGUAGCUUGUGUCUUCUUUGACCAUGGAGGUUAAUGGAUGGUAUCAUUAAAAUAAUAGACCAAAGAUAAAGUAAUUUUAUGUGUAUAUUGGAAGUACACUUAAAGUGAACAAAUAAGAGAUGCAAGAAGUCAUGAGAACAGGAAAAUCAUGAAAAGAGGUAGUGUGAAAGCAAGCUUUUUUCUGUGGUAGCAGACAGUUAGUGUAGAUGUAAUCAUAGUCAAUUAUCUCUCACCCAUAAGUUUGUAAAUUGGCAGUGGCUCUGUUUGGCUCUGUGUUAUGUCCUUAUUCAUGGAUUUUAGAGUAAAGAAGCAGCCCCCAUCUGGCACAUAGUGUUCUGUUGAUUGAAGCCAAGAAAAAAAAGGCUGAACUAAUCCACAGGGACACACUGGAAAGUUUGUAUAUGGCAUGCAACUGUCCACUGACAAUAGAAGGGGAUAUAGCCAUGGCCAACAAUGGGGUCAUGGCAAAGGAGGGGUGUAAAAUAUUCUUACAGAUGGAGAAGAUGCUUGGGAAAAUUAUAUCAUGUACGACGAUCUGUUCUCUUACUCCUAAAUACACAUUUUUCUCCUAACAUGAAAAUCUGCUUUUCUGAACUGUAAGGUAUUGACUCAAAACUGCAUUCAAUCAUGAUUUGAGGCAUGAUAUCUAGGUUUGUAAAUACAUCUUGGUUAUAUAGAGAGCUUUCUUGGUCUAGUGGCUAACAACUGAAAACAGAAGUUACCCAACUCUCGUUAACCGUAGCAUACAAUCCUGCAGAACAAACAGAAUGACCAUAGUCAGAAAAGAGUCACACAAUGGUGACCGGCCCCUAGAAAUUUUAUAAAAGACCAUUGUAGCAAUCUUGUACCUCAUGUAUCUAUGGAUAGGAAAUAAGCCCUUAUUCUGUCCAUUGUUCUCUGUGGUUCUUGGCCACUCCCUCUGGGAGCUCCUCCCCUUCCAUACACCACCCUGAACUCACAUUCAGAGAUUAUUUUAAUUCUGCAAGCUAAGCAAAUAUUUAUAUUUGAACUUCUUUGUAGGUAGGAAGUAUCAUAUUAUAUUGUUUCCUGAGUCACAAAUCCUCUUAAGAAAAUUGAAUGACAGAAUGGCAUAUACAACAUUGCCCAGAUUGUCAUUGACCUUUUAAAAUAGUCAAUAUAUCUUUAAAAGUCUCUUUGAGGAGCCAGUGUUGUGGUAUAGCAGGUAAAACUGUGGCCUGCAACGCUGGAAUCCCUUAUGGAGACUGAUUCCAUUUCAG